UACGGGGGGGGCAAGCGUUGUUCGGAAUUACUGGGCGUAAAGGGCUCGUAGGCGGCCAACUAAGUCAGACGUGAAAUCCCUCGGCUUAACCGGGGAACUGCGUCUGAUACUGGAUGGCUUGAAUCCGGGAGAGGGAUGCGGAAUUCCAGGUGUAGCGGUGAAAUGCGUAGAUAUCUGGGGGAACACCGGUGGCGAAGGCGGCAUCCUGGACCGGCAUUGACGCUGAGGAGCGAAAGCCAGGGGAGCAAACGGG
rnacentral:rRNA from 1 species